UACGUAGGGUGCAGGCGUUAAUCGGAAUUACUGGGCGUAAAGCGUGCGCAGGCGGUUUCUUAAGUCAGAUGUGAAAGCCCCGGGCUUAACCUGGGAACUGCGUUUGAAACUGGGAGACUUGAGUGUGGCAGAGGGGGGUGGAAUUCCACGUGUAGCAGUGAAAUGCGUAGAGAUGUGGAGGAACACCAGUGGCGAAGGCGACUCUUUGGUCUGUAACUGACGCUGAGGCGCGAAAGCGUGGGGAGCAAACAGG
rnacentral:rRNA from 1 species